rnacentral:rRNA from 1 species
GAAAAACUCCGGUGGUAUGGGAUGGACCCGCGUCUGAUUAGCCAGUUGGCAGGGCAACGGCCUACCAAAGCGACGAUCAGUAGCCGACCUGAGAGGGUGACCGGCCACAUUGGGACUGAGACACGGCCCAAACUCCUACGGGAGGCAGCAGUGGGGAAUAUUGCACAAUGGGGGAAACCCUGAUGCAGCGACGCCGCGUGAGCGAAGAAGUAUUUCGGUAUGUAAAGCUCUAUCAGCAGGGAAGAAGAAUGACGGUACCUGACUAAGAAGCACCGGCUAAAUACGUGCCAGCAGCCGCGGUAAUACGUAUGGUGCAAGCGUUAUCCGGAUUUACUGGGUGUAAAGGGAGCGCAGGCGGUGCGGCAAGUCUGAUGUGAAAGCCCGGGGCUCAACCCCGGUACUGCAUUGGAAACUGUCGUACUAGAGUGUCGGAGGGGUAAGUGGAAUUCCUAGUGUAGCGGUGAAAUGCGUAGAUAUUAGGAGGAACACCAGUGGCGAAGGCGGCUUACUGGACGAUAACUGACGCUGAGGCUCGAAAGCGUGGGGAGCAAACAGAAUUAGAUACCCUGGUAGUCCACGCCGUA